UACGUAGGGUGCGAGCGUUGUCCGGAAUUAUUGGGCGUAAAGAGCUUGUAGGCGGUUUGUCGCGUCUGCUGUGAAAAUCCGGGGCUCAACCCCGGACUUGCAGUGGGUACGGGCAGACUAGAGUGUGGUAGGGGAGACUGGAAUUCCUGGUGUAGCGGUGAAAUGCGCAGAUAUCAGGAGGAACACCGAUGGCGAAGGCAGGUCUCCUGGGCCACUACUGACGCUGAGAAGCGAAAGCAUGGGGAGCGAACAGG
rnacentral:rRNA from 1 species